GACGAACGCCGGCGGCGUGCUUAACACAUGCAAGUCGAACGGAUUGCUUGGUGCUUGCACUGAGUGGUUAGUGGCGAACGGGUGAAUAACACGUGAGUAACCUGCCCCCUUCUUUGGGAUAAGCACCUGAAAGGGUGUCUAAUACUGAUUAUUCUGCUGGAAUCGCAUGGUUUUGGUUGGAAAGGUUUUUUCUGGUGGGGGAUGGGCUCGCGGCUUAUCAGCUUGUUGGUGGGGUAAUGGCUUACCAAGGCUUUGACGGGUAACCGGCCUGAGAGGGUGACCGGUCACAUUGGGACUGAGAUACGGCCCAGACUCCUACGGGAGGCAGCAGUGGGGAAUAUUGCACAAUGGACGAAAGUCUGAUGCAGCGACGCCGCGUGAGGGAUGAAGGCCUUCGGGUUGUAAACCUUUUUCGCUUUUGACCAAGGCAGCAUUUUGGUGUUGUUGAGGGUAUGAGGUAAAGAAGCUCCGGCUAACUACGUGCCAGCAGCCGCCAUAAGAC
rnacentral:rRNA from 1 species